UACGUAGGGGGCUAGCGUUGUCCGGAAUCAUUGGGCGUAAAGAGCGUGUAGGCGGCCCGGUAAGUCCGCUGUGAAAGUCGGGGGGCUCAACCCUCGAAUGCCGGUGGAUACUGUCGGGCUAGAGUGCGGAAGAGGCGAGUGGAAUUCCUGGUGUAGCGGUGAAAUGCGCAGAGUAUCGUAAGGAAGACCAGUGGCGAAGGCGGGUCGUCUGGACAGUUCCGUGACGCUGAGGGCACGAAGGCCAGGGGAGGACAAACCGGGGAUUAGAAAACCCGGAAGUACGUCG
rnacentral:rRNA from 1 species